rnacentral:rRNA from 1 species
GUGCAGCAGGCGAGAAUUUUUCUCAAUGGGGGAAACCCUGAAGGAGCGACGCCGCGUGGAGGAUGAAGGCUUUCGGGUUGUAAACUCCUGUCAUUUGAGAACAAGUGUAGCCAAAUAACUACUGGCUACUUGAUAGUAUCAGAAGAGGAAGGGACGGCUAACUCUGUGCCAGCAGCCGCGGUAAUACAGAGGUCCCAAGCGUUGUUCGGAUUCAUUGGGCGUAAAGGGUGCGUAGGUGGCGCCGUCAGUGGGGUGUGAAAUUUCGGAGCUUAACUCCGAAACUGCAUUCCAUACUGCGGUGCUUGAGGACUGGAGAGGAGACUGGAAUUCAUGGUGUAGCAGUGAAAUGCGUAGAGAUCAUGAGGAAGACCAGUGGCGAAGGCGGGUCUCUGGACAGUUUCUGACACUGAGGCACGAAGGCUAGGGGAGCGAACGGGAUUAGAUA